rnacentral:rRNA from 1 species
UUUUAGAAAUUAAUUUAAAGUCUGACCUGCCCACUGAAUUUUUUUAAAUGGCCGCAGUAUUUUAACUGUGCAAAGGUAGCAUAAUCAUUAGUCUUUUAAUUAAAGGCUGGAAUGAAUGGUUGAAUGAAAUAUUAACUGUUUCAAUUAAAUUUAUAAUAAAAUUUUAUUUUUUAGUGAAAAAGCUAAAAUAUAUUUAAAAGACGAGAAGACCCUAUAAAUCUUUAUAUUUUAUAAAUUUUAAUUAUUUUGAAAAUUUUAAUUAUUAUUAUUUAAAAUAUUUUAUUGGGGUGAUAUUAAAAUUUAAAAAACUUUUAAUUUAUAAUUUACAUAAAUUAAUGAAUUAUUGAUCCAUAAAUUAUGAUUAUAAAAAUAAGUUACUUUAGGGAUAACAGCGUAAUUUUUUUAGAGAGUUCAUAUUGAUAAAAA